CUUCUUCCUUGACGUCCUUUGGUUGUUGGCAACGAGGUGUUGUUGGGCAACCAUCGCCGUGCUGUGGUUGGAGUAGAAAUUGCAGUGACUCGACGGGACGUCUUAAUUUCAUAUCUUUCUAAUAUGCUUGUUGUACGUAUUCCUCAGCAUUCUAUUUCCAAGAUAAAGAAUAGAACAAUGUAUACAAUUCUACCAUCGUAUGUCUUUUAUUCUAAAGAUACCUUCAUUGUCUAAAAUAUAGAAGUACAGUGUCGUCUGGGGAAAAAAUGCCCUUUGUGCUCACAAAAGGAUUUGUUUUAUUGUCACAUUAACCCACAUAAAUUAGAAUUAAAGUGAAGAGAGCAUGCGUGCAACCGAGGGAAGGGAGGCCAAGAAAGAUAAGAUAAAAUUAAGUUGGUUUGAUCCACCCUGUAUAGCAAAAAACAGAAAAAUGAAACAAUUUAAUCGUUUUUCUUUUUUUUUUUUAAUUUAACACAACUGCAAAACUACACAUGGCAGUCACUGGUUAGGACCCCGCCUAUUUUGCAACAAGUCAAGGACGACUUUCUGUUGGAAUAACACGGCUUGAUUACAUUUCUUCCAAAAGUUAGCUGGAGCAGCAGCAUCCUAAACUGGGAUCACCAUGGACAACUCGACUAGUGCGCCAUUCGACGGAUGGGAAUAUUAUUAUGACUACGUGGAUCCAGUAAUUGUGGACCAAAGCAAGUUAAAAUACAACAAAUGUGAGUCACUUUGCUUGAAUAUUUCUUUUUUUCCCUUCUCCUAUGACCUAAUGCAGCACUGCUUUCAGACUCCAUCGUUAUUGCAUUUUGGAUCACUCUGGCUGCCUUUGUGGGGGUCCUCUUCCUCACCUUGAAUCUCAUGUCAGGCAGUGCCCACUUGCCAUGGAGAUGUAGACGCAGAAGUCGGAGGAGAAACACAUCAUCCAGUUUAAUAUAAACCCACGAGAACAAUUACGAGCAAAAAGAAGCAAAUAAAAUGGCUGAAAUUGUUCUGGUCCUGAAAAAGUCACAUUUGAACAUGAUCGCUCGCACGCUGCUGCGUAGAGUUCACGUCGUCAUGGCUACAAAGUCCUGACAAACGGCGCUGACGCCCGAUUUGUGCGCUUUAGUCCGCUUACGCUUGCCUCCCGUCACCAU